UGGGGAAUAUUGCACAAUGGGCGCAAGCCUGAUGCAGCCAUGCCGCGUGUGUGAAGAAGGCCUUCGGGUUGUAAAGCACUUUCAGCGAGGAGGAAGGUGGUGAGCUUAAUACGCUCAUCAAUUGACGUUACUCGCAGAAGAAGCACCGGCUAACUCCGUGCCAGCAGCCGCGGUAAUACGGAGGGUGCAAGCGUUAAUCGGAAUUACUGGGCGUAAAGCGCACGCAGGCGGUUUGUUAAGUCAGAUGUGAAAUCCCCGGGCUCAACCUGGGAACUGCAUUUGAAACUGGCAAGCUAGAGUCUCGUAGAGGGGGGUAGAAUUCCAGGUGUAGCGGUGAAAUGCGUAGAGAUCUGGAGGAAUACCGGUGGCGAAGGCGGCCCCCUGGACGAAGACUGACGCUCAGGUGCGAAAGCGUGGGGCAGCAAACAGGAUUAGAUACCCUGGUAGUCCACGCUGUAAACGAUGUCGAUUUUGGAGGUUGUGCCCUUGAGGCGUGGCUUCCGGAGCUAACGCGUUAAAUCGACCGCCUGGGGAGUACGGCCGCAAGGUUAAAACUCAAAUGAAUUGAC
rnacentral:rRNA from 1 species